UACGUACUGUGCGAACGUUAUUCGGAAUCACUGGGCUUAAAGGGUGUGUAGGCGGCCGGCUAAGUAGGGUGUGAAAGGCCUCGGCUCAACCGAGGCAUUGCGCUCUAAACUGACCGGCUUGAGUAAGAUAGGGGUGUGCGGAACUUCCAGUGGAGCGGUGAAAUGUGUUGAUAUUGGAAGGAACGCCGGUGGCGAAAGCGGCACACUGGGUCUUAACUGACGCUGAGACACGAAAGCCAGGGGAGCGAAC
rnacentral:rRNA from 1 species